ACGAAGCUGCCUGUCUCCCUCUGUGUCCCCCCCGCGGGUCCGGCCCCUGGCUUUUGCCAGGCUGGCCACACAGCUGCGGGAGCCUGGCUGGGCUGAGGGUAGGGGAGGGACAGAUUCCUGGGGCUGGCGCAUCUCAGAAAAGGGGUUCAGUCUCCCCUGAGAGGCCAUGCCCCCAGGCACCCUUUGCCAAGCUCCAUGGGCCAUGGGGACUUAGCAGGGUACAUAGGUCAGGAGAUGUGAAGCAUGGGAAUGUCUGGGGGCAGGUCUCAGGAGUCAGGGUUCAGAGAUGAGAAUUCAGAUGGUCCCCCUCUGGAGCCCCAGCGACCCGCUUCUCCCCACCCCGACCCAGACGACAGGCAUCAUUGUUCCUUGGCCCCAUGGACCCCUUGAGGCAGUCCCCCUCGCCCAGUUCAUCAGAGGCCUCCAGCCCGAGGACCCUCUCGUGCGAGAGGCUUGGUUACGUGGGCAUCGAAGCUGUGCUGGACCAACUCAAGAUCAAGGCCAUGAAGAUGGGGUUCGAGUUCAACAUCAUGGUGGUGGGACAGAGCGGGCUGGGCAAGUCCACCAUGGUGAACACGCUCUUCAAGUCCAAGAUAUGGAAGUCCACGAUGCCGGGUCUGAGGGUGCCCAUGCCCCAGACGCUGCAGCUGCAUUCCAUGACUCACGUCAUCGAGGAGAAUGGCGUGAAGCUUAAGCUGACCGUGACCGACACACCGGGCUUUGGGGACCAAAUCAACAACGACAAGUGCUGGGACCCCAUCCUGGGCUACAUCAACGAGCAGUACGAGCGGUACCUGCAAGAGGAGAUCCUCAUCACCCGCCAACGACACAUCCCCGACACGCGAGUGCACUGCUGCAUAUACUUUGUGCCGCCCACCGGGCACUGCCUGAGGCCCCUGGAUCUUGAGUUCCUGCAGCGGCUCUGCCGGGCUGUGAACGUGGUGCCCGUGAUAGCCCGGGCCGACAGCCUGACCAUUGAGGAGCGAGAGGCCUUCAGGCACAGGAUCCAGGAUGACCUGAAGACUCACAGCAUCGAGGUGUACCCUCAGAAGUGCUUUGACGAGGACGUCAAUGACAAGAUCCUCAACAGCAAGAUCCGGGAGCGGAUCCCCUUCGCUGUGGUCGGGGCUGACCGAGAGCACAUGGUGAACGGGCGGUGUGUCCUGGGCCGGAAGACGAAGUGGGGCAUCAUCGAAGUGGAGAACAUGGCCCACUGUGAGUUCCCCCUCCUGAGAGACCUGCUCAUCCGCUCCCACCUCCAAGACCUGAAGGACAUCACCCACAACGUCCACUACGAGAACUACCGCAUCAUCAGACUGAAAGAAAGCCACGCGCUGCCCCGGGGGCCCGGCUGGGUGGACCUGGCCCCUGCCCCGUCCCCCGCCCCCGGCCCGGCCCCCACGGGCACCCGGGCCAGCCCCGGGCCCGCGAAGGUGUGCCGGUGGGCCGAGGACAACUCAGACGAGGACUUCUAAAUGGGUGCUGGGCAGCCCCCCAACAUGCAGCUGUGUACUCAAGCAUGUAUUAAAGCCCAGUCACUCCCAGGGCGCUGUGGACUCUGCUUCAGGAACCUGGAUCAGACCCCUCCCUGAGUGACUAGCACCAUCUCCAGUAUUACUUCAACUUCAGCCCUCAGGGCUUCCCUCUUAGUUCAGAUGAUGUGGAAACGGAGAAGAGGAGCACGCAAGGAACCGGCAAUGACGACGUGGCGCCCAGAGGCUGAUGCCCCUUCUCGCCCGCCCCUCACCGGGUCACCUCCAGGAAAGACCCUUAAAGCAACACGACCCCUCGCUCUGCCGCAGCUCUGGCUCCUGCCCUUUUAAGAAAGCCUUUGGAGAAAAUACUGAAGCCAAGGAGAUGCUGGCUUCCCUUUCUGAAAUGGAUGCCAGACUUACUGGCAGCUCAGAUGGUAAGGAAUCUGCCUGCAAU